rnacentral:piRNA from 1 species
UGCUAUAGUUGCAAAAGAGUGUCCC